rnacentral:pre_miRNA from 1 species
AAUACCUAGGUUUCCGUGUCCAACAUUUGACCACCCGUCUUAUUUGAAAAAAAUAUAAAACAAAUUAAAAAAAUAAGUCACGCAUAAAGUAUUAAUUAUGUUUUAUCAUCUAACAACAAUAAAAAUACUAAUUAUAAAAAAAAUUUAUAUAAGACAUACAGUCAAACGUUGAACACGGAAACCCAGGGUUUGUCUUUUU